UGCGUAGGCGGAAUAAUAAGUCAGUGGUGAAAUCCUGCGGCUCAACCGUAGAACUGCCAUUGAUACUGAUAUUCUUGAAUGUAGUUGAGGUAGGCGGAAUGUGUAAUGUAGCGGUGAAAUGCUUAGAUAUUACACAGAACACCGAUUGCGAAGGCAGCUUACUAAACUAUGAUUGACGCUGAGGCACGAAAGCGUGGGGAGCGAACAGGAUUAGAUACCCUGGUAGUCC
rnacentral:rRNA from 1 species